UAGGGUCUCUGACUCUCAAACCACUGUGCACCAAUACUACUUACUGCUGAGGCGGGCCGCUCGCUGGGGGAGCUCAGGCCUGUAUAGGUGGUCCGCCGAAGCAACUUUUCAAAACCUUUGACAGUAAAACAAAAACUUUCAAAUAAUUAUCA
rnacentral:misc_RNA from 1 species